GUAUAAUGGCGGGGUUUUGGUGCCCGCUUCCUGUUCAUGGACGCGGUUAAACGGGAAAAAUGGCGCCGCGCUUUGCCGCGUGGCCAACAUUUGCUGCCCCCGCAACGGUAAGCAAGCGCCGUCCGCAUUGGACGGCAGGAUGGACCGACAACCACUGCGCUGGCGCAGGAAGGUGGUCCAGCCCCCGCUUGCCAGCCCGGAUACCGGCCAAGACAGGUGGAUUGCG
rnacentral:ncRNA from 2 species